rnacentral:lncRNA from 1 species
UCAUCCUUCAUAGUCCUGCUGUCUGAGGUCUCCAUCCUCACAAACAAACCAGCCCUCAGUGGGUUAGCUGCCUGCUGAGCUGGAGUAUACUUGGGAAAAGGUUCCCAAAUGUCUUCACACAAGGAAUAAGAUGAAAAAACUCCUGUCGAUGUUUUAUGGAAUAUUUUUACAUUUUACUAGCAUUCAUCAGUCUUUUACUAUUGACAAACAUAUCCCUUAUAUCCUAUUUCAGGAUUUUGAAUUUUUAGGCAUUAAAUUUGGUAAAUACUAUAUGUUCAUUUUCUCAAGAUAUUUUAUUUACAUGUUUUUGUUUUCCAGUUUUCACAAGAGUUUCUUUAAAUUCUUACUAGAAUUUCUUUAAACUUCCAAGCUGCUAUAUCUGUUAAAAAUUAAUUGUAUUUGUUCAUUUGGAUUUUAUCUCUUAUGUUUUAGAGAGCCAGCAUAAACACACAGAACUUUUAUUCUCAUCAAUGUCCUCUUUUUUUUUUUUUUUCUUUUUGUAAGAGAUGAAGUCUUGCUUUGUCACCCUGGCUGGAGUACAGUGCACAACCAUAGUUCACUGAAGUCUUGGACUUCUGGGCUCAAGUGAUCCUUCUACCUCAGCCUCUUGAGGAGCUGGGACUAUAGGUGUGAGGCACCACACCCAGCUAAAGUGAGACCCCAUCUUUUUUCUUUAAAAGUACCACUCCAGGGGCUCCCAGGAGCAAGAUCUAGGGUUGCACACAAGGCCCCACUCUGCACUCAUUCCUCGCCUCAGCCUCCCAAGUAGCUGGGAUUACAGAUGGGAGCCACGGAGCCCAGCGUCAAUGUCCUUUAUAAGUCAGCAUUACAAGUUAUUGAUUGAUAUCAUUCAUAAUCUCUUGGUCAGAACUUGCCACAUCAGUACUGGCAAUUAGGAUAACUUCCUAUAUGAAUGAGGCUAUUCCAUGCCUUCUUUUUUCAUCUGACUCUGAUUCUAAUUAUACUGUGAGCUCUGAGAAAACAUUCUUACUUGGUUACAAUUUGUAUUCCUUCAACUAAUCACCCACUUACUUAAGUACAGAUUCUAGCCUGUACUUAGAUAAAUAUUCACUGGUUGUCCAUGGUCAACAGUUUCCUGAUUGCCACAGUUCCCUGGUUCAAGUAUCACAAGCUUACUUUAACAGACAUCAGCUGGGCGCAGUGGCUCACUCCUGUAAUCCCAGCACUUUGGGAGGUGAGGCAGGCGGAUCACGAGGUCAGGAGUUUGAGACAAACCUGGCCAACACGGUGAAACCCUGUCUCUACUAAAAAUACAAAAAGUAGCCAGGCACGGUGGCGGGUGCUUGUAAUUCCAGCUACUCAGGAAGCUGAGGCAGGAGCAUUGCUUGAACUCAGGAAGCAGAGGUUGCAGUGAGCUGAGAUCAUGCCACUGCACUCCAGCCUGGGUGACAGAGCAAGACUCUGUCUUGGGGAAAAAAAAAAGAGAGACAUCGUAUGACCAGUGGAUUCAUUUGCCCAUGGGUCACACGACAUUAAUGAAAUGCAGCUGUUGUCAAUGAAAUGCAGCUUCAUUACACUUACAAUUCAUAAUAUCUAGCAGACUGAAAAGUCUGUAUCAGUAAUGAUUUGU